GACGGAGGAUGCAAGCGUUAUCCGGAAUGCUUGGGCGUAAAGCGUCCGCAGGUGGCAGUUCAAGUCUGCUGUCAAAGACCGGGGCUUAACUUCGGAAAGGCAGUGGAAACUGAACAGCUAGAGUAUGGUAGGGGCAGAGGGAAUUCCUGGUGUAGCGGUGAAAUGCGUAGAUAUCAGGAAGAACAUCGGUGGCGAAGGCGCUCUGCUGGACCAUAACUGACACUCAGGGACGAAAGCUAGGGGAGCGAAUGGG
rnacentral:rRNA from 1 species